CUUCAGUCAUCAGAGCAGAGCUGCCCAGCUCCACCACUUUCUUUCACAAGUGACCCCUGACACUUUCAAUUAUGGAAGCUCAGCAGGAAGUGCAUGCUUGGAACCAACUUUCCGAUUAAAACAAACCUGCCUCUAAAACCCCCAAAAUUUGAAAUUAGGCUCCCAGAACUAAAAGGAGGCAUUCUGAAAUGUUUUGCAACCACAAUCUUUUAAAAAAAAAAAAAAAAAAAAAAAAAAAGACUGUAUGGAUCAAGCUAUUAACCAGGUGCACCAAAGUAAACCCAAAUGGGGCUCAUAAAACAGAGCAGGUGACUUCCUGGCUGCAGCUAGCUGUUGAUCUGUACUACAUGGAGGAAAGCUUUUCUGGCCUGAAGGACUCUAAGAGACCAUUUGGUGUCAUCCUAAUUUAUUCUUUUAUUCAUCUCUCUUCCUAAUUUAUUCUUUUAUUCAUCUCUUUCCAACGCACAAAACACAACCUCCAAUAUCGCAGGGCAGAACCAACCCAUAAACACAAGCAACCGGGCCCAUUACGCAUUUCUCCCACAUACAGGGGGCUUACACGUGUUGGACAGAUGAUCAUGACUAUUGAAUGAAUGACAUGUAAGUUAUCGUCAUUCCGUCUCUAUUUCUUUGCUUAGAGGUCCUCCCGUGGAAGGAUGUCAAGCAAAAAUAGGACAACAGAGACAUGGGGAAAAGCCAGGUGAUUCCUGAGAUAGAAGAAACUCAAGCUGUCAUCUAGUUCAACUUGCCCUGCAAUAUAAUAAACCUAUUUACAACCACAUUCAUCAGGGUUUAUUUGAACAUUUCUAAAAAGAACACACUUCUUUGAAGAGUGGAUGAUUUCUGUGUUGGGCAGCUCUCAUCGUUUUUAAGGUCCUUCUCCAGUGCUUUCUCACCAUGGCUCUCAUUAGGAGCCCUUAAAACAAAGUAUGUAGCCUCCCCUCCACAAACCAUAAAAUAUUUGAAGACAGCCAUUAAGUCUUCCCCCAAUGUCCCUUUCUCCAAACACAAUCUUCCCAUUCCCUUCAAUCACUCAUUCAAAUAUUAAAUAUGAUUUCCACAUUCUUCAUUAUCCAGGUCACCGUCCAGAUAGUAAAUGACAGUCUAAAAAUGUAGCACCCAAUUCUGAAAACCAUAUAUUACACAUUUUCUUAUAGUACUGUGGCAAUUGGCAGGAAUCCCUCCACCCAGGGUUAAUGUUAUGAAACGCCUUUUAAAUUAGCGAAAGCAGGGGUCCACAUUUUCUGCUUGUUCUACAAUUUCUACUUAAUUUACAGUGUGGGCCACCAGCCAUUAGGGAGGUGUGGGGAAUGUGACUAUUGCCAAUAAUUGACCAUUCCCUGGUCCAGGAGAUAUAUAAAACUCUAAUGGAACCAUUAUUCUUAAACCCACAGGAUGUGUAACAAGAACAAGAAAGUAAUGCAUUUGCAAAACCUACUUUCUUUUUCUUUAAAAAAAAAAAUAGACAAUAAAAAUAUCUAUCUUUAUCUCACAUGGUCAUGUGCAAAGUAACUAUCUUAAAAUGAGAUUCUUAUGCUAAGUGUUAAGAGAACACACAGAGCCUUGCAUUCACACACACAUUCCCAGAGCAGGCUAACUGCUAAAACAUUCCAUUAAUGCAUCAGUGUCAUAGAGCUUGAUGACUUUGGGCAUUGUAAUACUGGCUUCCAUAGCAACCUAUUGUCCUUGCACACUUAUUUGUUGAAUGGUAUGUCUGCACAUGGAGCUAUGCCAUACCUAGGAAAAUAAGUGUUCAAUCACCAAGCAGCUCAGUGAUGAGAUCACACAAGGCCCUUGAAAGUGAAGUGGUUUGGCCCUGUAUCCAGAAUAAUCUACCUGCAAAGUCUUUUAUCUGUGAAAAUAAGAGAUGAGAACGCUGCUGGGGCAAUAUGAACCCAACACUGCGCUAAAACUCCUGGGUUAAUUGUGGCUUAGGAAUGAAGGGGGACACGCAGGUAGAGAAUGGAAGAGGUUAGAACUGAAGAUAAUCAAAGCUGAGGCGAGUCAAGAAAUAACCAUAAUAGCCCUGACAAUAGUGACAGUUGUAGAUAAUAACAGCCAGUUAUGGAUAAUAACCAACAUCAUUGAGGAUCUACUAUGUCUCUCCUCUGGCAUGCACUUUAAUAGCCAUCACUUCAUUAUAACCUUGUAGAAAAGAUUUGGGGGAAAAGUUCACCUUUGGAAACUGCUUAAAAGGCAAUCACAGUGCUUUUGAUAACCCAAAGUCAUUAUUAGUGACUCGUGAAGUGUGCAGAGUUUUUAAAGAUGGUUAUAGUGACACAUGUUCCCAUAUGUCCCUGGAUAAAUGGCCUCCCAAGGCUAUGCUUUUUAAGCUUCUGGUUCUCUUUUGUAUUUGUUCUGUCUUCUCCAAAAAGGUCUUCUCUUGGCGCUUUUGGGGUUCCACCUCUGGUGGUCCAUUUCUUCCCAUUACUUCUCUCCUAAGAACUAAGAAGCCACAUAAGCAAGACUAAUAGAAUUACAAAGUAAAUGAGGAAGCUUCUUAGAAAUCUCUCCAUUGAUUAAGAACAUGAGCAGUAACAUCCAAACUUUUAAAUAUCCUUAUUCGCAGCUCAGAUGCACUUUACUUUUCUUUAUUACACCUUCUUGUUGAGUAGAGACAUGAGGCAGGAGAUCUGUAGAUAUAUGGACACUACUUAUUUUCUGCUACAUAUCACUGCUUGGUCUAAUGACAGACUUAUUGCUUCAGAUGCAGCAAUUGUAUUCAAUAAUCAUCUUUAAAUGACAUAUUAAAAGAUGUCCUUUGAUGAAAAGAGCUGGACCCCUACCUGCCACACUUUUGUUUGUCUUUUUUUUUUUUUUUUUUGCCUGCACCCAGGACAUUUGGAAGUUCCCAGGCUAGGGGUCGAAUCAGAGCUAUAGCUGCUGGCCUACACCACAGCUCACAGCAAUGCUGGACCCUUAACCCACUGAACGAGACCAGGGAUCGAACCCACAUCCCAUGGAUCUUAGUUGGGUUGGUUAACCACUGAACCACAAAGGGAACUCCGGAGACACUUUUUUAAUUAUAAUUGUUGAUGGAAUGAUGAAUUGGCACUUACAUGAUGUGUACUUAGAUUAAGCAAAAUGCUUUUUAACUUCAUUAUGAAACAACAAAUUAGAAAAAGUGAAUCGUUUUAUAAAAUACUGCCAAAGCUGGUUGAAAUUAUAAGACAAAUUACUACCUUGAAUAAAUGAUGUGCAUUAGUUAACAGGCAGUUGCUAAAUUUUGCUGAUGCAGCAAUGAGUUGCUAAGACAUCUUGCAUAAAUCCACCAGGUAAUUUUUCAGGCAAUUCUUUUCUGAGUCUAACACGCCAUUGUUUAAUGGAAGACUGUAGCAGAAAAAGAACAGUCAUUUAUAAGCGUGUAGUAUAAAGAUCUCUAGUUUCUUAUCUGUGGUAGACACACCCUAGGGUGAUCCCCAGUGAGUCCAUGUGUAAUCCUUCCUCUUGAGGGCAGACAAGACCUAUGACUUGUCCUAAAUGUGUGAAGUACAGGAAUACUAGUAAUACUAAGGGAAAAUUGCUUAGAUUGUCCAUAUGUGCUAGCAAAAGCAUCUCUUUGUGGCUUUUGAUCACAUCUAAGGAAGUUAAGCCUGGCAGUAUUGGGGGAAAAUUAUUACACCUGCUUCUAUUGAAAACGAUCAUUCAACCAUAAAUAUGGCAUUACUCUAAGAUGCUGUAAUAUUCUGCACCCCAGUCUACUUCGCGGUCCUCCUUGGAUGGUAGCAUAUUUCACAAUUAUACACACCCAUGACAGAGAUGAGCAUUUAUAUGCUAAUCACAGCAGUAUGGGCAGCUGCAGCCUUUCACUAUAAGCCAUGAGCCUUUAAAUCAGGAAAAGCCACUGGAGCACAAUAUAUCACCCCAAAAUGGGUUUGGCUGGCUUAGAUAUUAGAAAAAAUAUUUUUUCUUGCCCAUGGUUUAAGGAGUAGCAGCAGUGCUCAUUAUGUCUUUACAUCAAAAAAAAAAAAAACAAAAACGAAACAAAUGAGUGUUCAGGUAGUAAGAAAAUAAACAUACAAACAAAAGGCAAUUACCAAGCUUCCUCGCAUAUGUAUGCCCAACACCCUCCCUGGGAAGCACAGAGCCCCAUGUGAGGUGAGACAAAUGUCACAGCACAUAGUCAGCAACUAUAGAAAAAAACUGAGGUGUUUAGGGGAAAAAGCAUUAUCGUGGGACUGAGAAAAAUCUGGGUCUGGGAAAGGGUGCUCAAUAGUACAGGAUAGACGAGAAAAUACUCAUUUUUUAUGACAUCAAUAAUUGUUUAUAAUAAUUUCGGGGACAUCAAUAGCUGUGGAUAAUGAUUUUUGUGGCUAAUAUUUAUUGAAUGCCUAUCACAUGGGCCUGUCAUCCUGCUAAAUGCUUUACAUAAGCGUCUUAUUUAAUUCCUCUACACACACUAGCUCUUCUGACUACGACUACUGACCCAUUUUUAUAGCUGGAUAAACUGAGGUUUAAAGGGAUACAGUAGCUUGCCCCAAAUCACUAAGUGGCAGCUGUGAGUUUGGGACCCACUUCUGCCUGAUUCUAAUGUAGGCUCAUCUCUCUGAGGAGGAGAGAAGACCAUUCCCUCUGAUGGACCACAGACCACUAUGCAGUCGAGCCAGCCAGUGCGCCCAGGCUAGUUACCAGGGGCAGGAGGAGGCGGGCAGUGCUAAAGGGUGAGGGAUGCUGACAUAUCAACAAGUGAACAAGUACAGAGAACACUGUGAUUGGUGGGUAGUGGUAGAUGAGGGAGUUUGGGGACCAGGGUUCCCAAGGUCCUGCUGCUAUGCUGGGUGGGAGCUGAUGGGCUGGCAAAAUGGAGAGCAUGUAAGCUCAGACCUUCUAAUAUCUUUGCUUUAUACCUACCGAGUGAUUCAAUAAAAUGACGGAAAUUUGUAUACUCU
rnacentral:lncRNA from 1 species